UCAACUGGGCUAAUAGCAUAGAAUCAUAGAGAUAAAGUCCACUCCAGGCUUCUAGUUCAAACCCCAAUCUCAUGCAGAAUCCAGCUACAGCACAUUUGACUGAGGGCAGUCCACCCUCUGCUUAAACAUUGUCUUAAGCUGUCUCUUCCCCUGUCAAAACUUCUUACCUUUAAGGAAGUGUCUUCUUUCUUCAGCAGAAAUCUACUUCCCUGUAAUUUCUACCUUUUGGUUUUAGUCCUGCCCUUGGGAUCAACAGAAGACGAGUUUUUCACUAUCUUCUCUGUGAAAGAACCUGGGAUAGCUGAAUACUGCUAUCAAGGCUUCCCUUACAGCUAAACAUACAUCUAUCCUCAACAGAUUCUUUUUCAGAGGAAGAACUGAAGCUCUCCAAGUUAGGCUUGAACAGCAAGUUGCUCCUAUGGCAGAAAUGGGAAGAUCUUCUACUGAAUUAAAUUCCUUUUGGACCUGCUCUUUAUAUCUGCUUCUGAUGUUGAAUCACAAGAUGACCUGCUACUUAGUACUGGACAACGUAGGAUAUAAACUCAAUUGAAGGGUUCAUGUUACCUGAACAUUUGGUUAACAUUCAUCCAAAUCAUUUAUAAAAACUGCACAGGGCUUCAAACAGAACCCAGUAACCUGCCAUUUAAGCCUUUCCUCCAUGCUGAAAGAAAGAUAUUGGACAUCAUUUGUAUAACAGGGAUAGAAGGAAGAUGCCCAAAUAUUUAUUGGAUCACUGUUGGAGAGCAUAUGAUGCAACCAAUUUGAUGAACCUAAGCUUGUCCAGAUGUGGAGCUACCUGGCUGAUGUUUAAUUAUGUUUUCUUUAUUUAUAUUUAUUGAUUUCCAGCACCUUGAUUUGCACCCAGAAGCUCACCAGUAACCAGUGUAGUUUGGAGAACAGUGGUGUCAUAUGGGCAUACUUAGCAUGCCUAUCACUGUCUACACCACUGUAUUCUGCAGCUUCUGAGUGGACCCCAUGUAGAGCACAUUGCAACAGUCCAGUCAUGACGUAAGGCAUGAGUAAUCAUUUGGAGGCCCUCCUGAUCUAAGAAUGGGUACAACUGGCACACUAGAUGGAGCUGUGCAAAGGCUCUCUUAGCCACAGCUGCCAUCUGCUUUUCAAGCAGGAGCUGUGAUUCCAAGAUGAACACCAGAUUGCACACCAGUCUCAAAUGGGGCAGUGCAACCCCAUCCAUGACUAAAGAUGGAAAGUUUUCAAAUCUGGGGACCCAAAUGUCCAGAGUCACUUGGUCUCAACAAGAUUCAACCUAAGUCUGUUCCUCCCCAUCCAGACACUGGGCCAGGACAUUGACAUCAUUUGGCUAGCCUGGGGUCAAGAAGUAUAACUGGGUAUCAUCUGCAUAUUGAUGAUACCAGACCCUGAACCAACAAAAGACUUCCCCAAAUGUUUCAUGUAGAUAUUAAACAGGAGGGGAGAGAGUGUCUAGUUCUGAGGCAUCCCACAAAUGAGGGGCUGAGGGCAUGAUCUCUCCCUCCCCCAUCAACACUGACUGGAUCCAGCUGUGGAGAAAGGAGGAGAAUCACCAUAAUACAGUACCCCUACCCCCUACUCCCAAACCCCACAGCUGUUCCAGAAGGAUACUGUAGAGAGUCAGAGAGAUGACCUUGAGGGAAAUAGGCAAGAACUGUUCCAUAAGCAGAGGGCUAAAACAUUCCUUAAGCCCUGGGAGACAAGAUAGAAUUUGGAAGAGACUCAGGCAGUCUCCUCCCUGAUUUAUUGGGGUAUAAGAGAGAGGGGAAGUAAAACACAAUCAGGCUUACAAGAGUCUUUUGAGUCUUUUUAUACUCUCAAUAAAGUAUAGCUCUAAUCUUC